GAUGAACGCUGGCGGCGUGCCUAAUACAUGCAAGUCGAGCGAACAGACGAGGAGCUUGCUCCUCUGACGUUAGCGGCGGACGGGUGAGUAACACGUGGAUAACCUACCUAUAAGACUGGGAUAACUUCGGGAAACCGGAGCUAAUACCGGAUAAUAUAUUGAACCGCAUGGUUCAAUAGUGAAAGACGGUUUUGCUGUCACUUAUAGAUGGAUCCGCGCCGCAUUAGCUAGUUGGUAAGGUAACGGCUUACCAAGGCAACGAUGCGUAGCCGACCUGAGAGGGUGAUCGGCCACACUGGAACUGAGACACGGUCCAGACUCCUACGGGAGGCAGCAGUAGGGAAUCUUCCGCAAUGGGCGAAAGCUUGACGGAGCAACGCCGCGUGAGUGAUGAAGGUCUUCGGAUCGUAAAACUCUGUUAUUAGGGAAGAACAAAUGUGUAAGUAACUAUGCACGUCUUGACGGUACCUAAUCAGAAGGCCACGGCUAACUACG
rnacentral:rRNA from 1 species